rnacentral:rRNA from 1 species
AGUGAACGCUGGCGGUAGGCCUAACACAUGCGAGUCGAACGGCAGCACAGUAAGCGCUUGCUCUUACGGGUGGCGAGUGGCGGACGGGUGAGGAAUACAUCGGAAUCUACUUUUUCGUGGGGGAUAACGUAGGGAAACUUACGCUAAUACCGCAUACGACCUACGGGUGAAAGCAGGGGAUCUUCGGACCUUGCGCGAUUGAAUGAGCCGAUGUCGGAUUAGCUAGUUGGCGGGGUAAAGGCCCACCAAGGCGACGAUCCGUAGCUGGUCUGAGAGGAUGAUCAGCCACACUGGAACUGAGACACGGUCCAGACUCCUACGGGAGGCAGCAGUGGGGAAUAUUGGACAAUGGGCGCAAGCCUGAUCCAGCCAUACCGCGUGGGUGAAGAAGGCCUUCGGGUUGUAAAGCCCUUUUGUUGGGAAAGAAAAGCAGCAGGUUAAUACCCCGCUGUUCUGACGGUACCCAAAGAAUAAGCACCGGCUAACUUCGUG